GACGAACGCUGGCGGCGUGCUUAACACAUGCAAGUCGAGCGAUGAAAUCCCUUCGGGGAUGGAUUAGCGGCGUACGGGUGAGAACACGUGGGCAACCUGUCUCAAAGUGGGGGAUAGCCUUCCGAAAGGGAGAUUAAUACCGCAUAACAUUAGUUUUUUACAUGAAUUACUAUUUAAAGGAGUAAUCCGCUUUGAGAUGGGCCCGCGGCGCAUUAGCUAGUUGGUGAGGUAACGGCUCACCAAGGCCACGAUGCGUAGCCGACCUGAGAGGGUGGUCGGCCAAGUGGGAACUGAGCACCGGUCCAGACUCCUACGGGAGGCAGCAGUGGGGAAUAUUGCAAAAUGGGCGAAAGCCUGAUGCAGCAACGCCGCGUGAAUGAUGAAGGCCUUCGGGUUGUAAAGCUCUGUCUUUGGGGACGAUAAUGACGGUACCCAAGGAGGAAGCCACGGCUAACUACGUGCCAGCCGCCGCGGUAA
rnacentral:rRNA from 1 species